rnacentral:tmRNA from 1 species
ACUCAUUGGACCCGGGGGCGGUACCCGGCGCCUCCACCAAAAUAUAAUCAACAAAGCUUAUACUUUGGUGGGGGCGAAAUAGGAUCGACAAGGGUGUAAAGAUUGCUCUUUUACUCGGUAUUGUACCACCGUCAUCGGACUAAAUUAGUAGUUGCAAACGACAACUAUGCGGAAGCACGUCUCGCUGCUUAAGCAGUGCGAAGGCUUCAAAUUAAGCCUUAAACCGUCGCAGGUUUAAGCGGGGUUCGGAGG